AAAAACAUGUCCUUUAGAAUUUAAUUUAAGGUCUAGCCUGCCCACUGAUAUAAUUAAAUGGCCGCAGUAUUUUAACUGUGCAAAGGUAGCAUAAUCAUUAGUCUUUUAAUUGAAGGCUUGUAUGAAUGGUUGGACGAAAUAUUAACUGUUUCAUAAAAAUUUAUUUAGAAUUUUAUUUUUUAGUUAAAAAGCUAAAAUUUUUUUAAAAGACGAGAAGACCCUAUAGAUCUUUAUAAUUUAUUUAUUAUAGUUAUAUAGAUUAUUUAAAUUAUGAUUUUAUAAAUUAUUUUGUUGGGGUGACAUUAAAAUUUAAUAAACUUUUAAUAAAUUUUUACAUUAAUUUAUGAAUUAUUGAUCCAUUAUUAGUGAUUAUAAAAUUAAGUUACCUUAGGGAUAACAGCGUAAUUUUUUUGAAGAGUUCAUAUCGAUAAAAAAGAUUGCGACCUCGAUGUUGGAUUAAGAUAUAAUUUUGGGUGCAGCAAUUCAAUAAUUAAGUCUGUUCGACUUUUAAUUUCUUACAUGA
rnacentral:rRNA from 1 species